rnacentral:tRNA from 1 species
GUUUUCGUAGUGUAGUGGUUAUCACGUUCGCCUCAAACGCGAAAGGCCCCCGGUUCGAACCCGGGCGAAAACA